GUGGGGAAUAUUGGACAAUGGGCGCAAGCCUGAUCCAGCCAUGCCGCGUGUGUGAAGAAGGCCUUUUGGUUGUAAAGCACUUUAAGCGAGGAGGAGGCUCCUUUAGUUAAUACCUAAAGAGAGUGGACGUUACUCGCAGAAUAAGCACCGGCUAACUCUGUGCCAGCAGCCGCGGUAAUACAGAGGGUGCGAGCGUUAAUCGGAUUUACUGGGCGUAAAGCGUGCGUAGGCGGCUUUUUAAGUCGGAUGUGAAAUUCCUGAGCUUAACGUAGGAAUUGCAUUCGAUACUGGAAAGCUAGAGUAUGGGAGAGGAUGGUAGAAUUCCAGGUGUAGCGGUGAAAUGCGUAGAGAUCUGGAGGAAUACCGAUGGCGAAGGCAGCCAUCUGGCCUAAUACUGACGCUGAGGUACGAAAGCAUGGGGAGCAAACAGGAUUAGAUACCCGAGUAGUCC
rnacentral:rRNA from 1 species